AGCAGAGGAGGAGUGGGGAGAGAAACAAAGAAGUUCAUUGCAGCAUUAAUGAAGCUGCAGGACUCAACAGGGGCCCAGCAGCACCAGGCAGGACGGGGCUGCAGCCCCGGGAGAGCUGUGCCCACCGUGGUGGUACAGCUGAGCAAACGAGUUCAGUAUCUUUGAACAAAGCCUCCAGAUGGACCUCGGCUGCUGGGGAGGCCAGCCGGCUUUUACGCUGGCACGCAGGGACUUUCCACUAAUUGGAUCCCCAGGGAAGGAGAGCAGCCGCCAUCCCCAGCCACCCCACCCAUCCACUCAUUCAUUCAUUCAUUCAUUCACUCACUGAGAAGCUACAGUGCAGCCGAGGGCGCCCAGCUCGGCUCUGGGGACCCUGGGGUGAACAAGAUAAAGCCCGGCCCAGAGGCAGCUCACCCACCCUCGGGUAGGGCCUGGUCACCACGGUGGAAGAGUCUGGACUUCGUGCGGAGUGCGCUGGGAGCCUGGAGGGUGGGGCCUGCUGCGACCCACUCCCACGACCGUGCACAGCCCUCCCGGCCCUCUCACACCCGCUGGCCUACACAGUCCCCCUUCAGGUGGGAGAGGGGAGAGGCUCUGGUCGGGCCCGGCCCCAGCCUGCCUGCGUCACACUUGGCCUUGUCCCUCGUCUCUGCCCCCCCGCCCCCUGCCAUGCAGCAUCUGAGGUUGCCGCCCUAGGCCGCCUCUGGUUGGUCCCACUGGCUGCUCCGCUGACGAGGGGCACGUACGCUAGGGAUUCUCUGAGGGAAUCACAACCUCACCCCCCGCCCCUGUGAUCCCACUGCUGUCUGCUCACUUUCCUGCCCCAGAAUCCCACCCCCAGGCUUCCAAGACGUGGAUCCAGAGGCCCCUACAGCCAGAGACCUCCGAGGGGGCCAACCCUGAGGGGACACUGAGGACCACUCGGCUAGUUGUUCCCAGAGUCCUGGAGGGGCGCUGUAAAGGGCUCAGGCCAAGGUCAUGGCCAGUGUCCCAGACUGUGGCAUGGAGGCCAGCUUCCAGAGAAGGCCGGGCUCCAGGCCACCUGAUCAAGCAUCUACUUGCCUGAGCGGCAGAGUCCCAGCUUGAGGUCACCUUCACCCCUGACUUAGUGAGUCCCUGCCAUGUGCCAUGCA